rnacentral:rRNA from 1 species
AUUGAACGCUGGCGGCAGGCCUAACACAUGCAAGUCGAACGGUAACAGGAAGACGCUUGCUUCUUUGCUGACGAGUGGCGGACGGGUGAGUAAUGUCUGGGAAACUGCCUGAUGGAGGGGGAUAACUACUGGAAACGGUAGCUAAUACCGCAUAACGUCGCAAGACCAAAAAGGGGGACCUUCGGGCCUCUUGCCAUCGGAUGUGCCCAGAUGGGAUUAGCUAGUAGGUGGGGUAACGGCUCACCUAGGCGACGAUCCCUAGCUGGUCUGAGAGGAUGACCAGCCACACUGGAACUGAGACACGGUCCAGACUCCUGCGGGAGGCAGCAGUGGGGAAUAUUGCACAAUGGGCGCAAGCCUGAUGCAGCCAUGCCGCGUGUAUGAAGAAGGCCUUCGGGUUGUAAAGUACUUUCAGCGGGGAGGAAGGGAGUAAAGUUAAUACCUUUGCUCAUUGACGUUACCCGCAGAAGAAGCACCGGCUAACUCCGUG